rnacentral:rRNA from 1 species
GCACCGGGUGAGUAACACGUAAGUAAUCUGCCUUCGAGUGGGGAAUACCUUCGGGAAACCGAAGAUAAUACCGCAUAAUGCAGCG